rnacentral:rRNA from 1 species
UACGUAGGGUCCGAGCGUUGUCCGGAAUUAUUGGGCGUAAAGGGCUCGUAGGCGGUUUGUUGCGUCGGGAGUGAAAUCCUCCAGCUUAACUGGGGGCUUGCUUUCGAUACGGGCAGACUUGAGGCAUGCAGAGGAGAAUGGAAUUCCUGGUGUAGCGGUGAAAUGCGCAGAUAUCAGGAGGAACACCGGUGGCGAAGGCGGUUCUCUGGGCAUGUUCUGACACUGAGGAGCGAAAGUGUGGGGAGCGAACAGG